rnacentral:rRNA from 1 species
UACGUAGGGGGCAAGCGUUGUCCGGAUUUAUUGGGCGUAAAAGAGCUCGUAGGUGGUUCGGUAAGUCGGAUGUGAAAUCUCCAGGCUCAACCUGGGAGGGUCAUUCGAUACUGCCGUGACUAGAGGUCGGUAGGGGAGUGUGGAAUUCCUGGUGGAGCGGUGAAAUGCGCAGAUAUCAGGAGGAACACCCGUAGCGAAGGCGGCACUCUGGGCCGAUACUGACGCUGAGGAGCGAAAGCGUGGGGAGCGAACAGG